AUUAUUAUAAUUAAAAGCAAUAGGGAGAAUUAUGGAUUCAUUGUCUGUUUUUGGCUUGUAUGUUAAAAGCUCAUUCCUGUUUCUGAGUUUUGUCUUAUUAAUAGUGUCUACUAGAUCUGUUUCUGGAUAAUUGUUUUCAAUAAAUUUGUUUUUUAAAAUUUCGGCUUGUUCAUUAAAAUCUUCUAAUUCAGUACAAUUCCUGCGUAAGUGUAAAAACUGGCUUUGUGGGCCAAUUUCAAGCCAGGGUUUAUGGUGGCAACUUAAUCUGUCAAUAGCUG